rnacentral:snoRNA from 1 species
UCUUUGCAGCCUUGUGAAGCUGCCCCUGGCAAGGACUAUUGCCUGUGGGUACAACAAGGUCGCACAAAGCAAGUCAAGGGAUCAAAAGGCGUGACUUCUGGAGGCUCAGGAGCUUCACGUGCGAUGUUCCUCGGACAGUCUCCUGCCUUCCACGGCGGUGAUGGUCUCGUUCUGUAGCUGUCACCUUUCUUAGGGCAGGUAGAGAAAUCCUGGCAGCCAGAUAUUGUUUGGUAUAGGGGAAGCUCUUCCUGCCGGACACUGUCAGCUGUCACAAUA